CCUACAUACAUAUAGAUGAACGCUGUAGUCUUCCAAUGCUUUGAAAAACACCACGAAUUCAACGUAAGUCGUAAGUAAUGGGAUCUGUACAUAAAAAAUAAUGAAUUACUUCAAUGCUUUGUUUUUAUAAUAUUAAAGUUUAACUUCCAUAAAGUUUUCAUCACAAAACUGAUGAUUUUCAGAUACCUAUAAAUUUGAUUCUAAUGCGAAUUUUGAUAAAAGGAACCUAGGCUUUUAUGGUGUCAAUAGCAUACUAAAAAUCUUUGUGAUUGUAUUGGAUAUGAUUUUGGAGUAAGUAGAAAAACGUUUCCUUUUUUUGGAUGGGCGAAUGUGAGGUAUACCCACCCCUAAAUUUACUUAUCCAAAGUCCAUGAAAAUAUGUUAUUCUAAAUUUCUAAAAUUAAUACUGGUAGGUAGUAUUUGGAUGGAAAAUAUUAUUUCAAUAUUUCAGCCAGAUUCUUUAGAACCUAUAAAUAUUACUAUUAAUUUUAUAAUACACUUAUUUUAAGCAAUUUCAAUAUUAGUAUACAAAAUAAUAACUAUCGCUCACACAAACUACAUAUGCAUUUUGUGUGUUCCUAGCCUUAUGGUACCUAGAUAUAAAAUUGGAUAUAUUUUUAAAACCCAGUAGUAUGAAACCUAUUUAGAUAUAUUGUGGUCACAUAUUUUCAAAUUCAAUUAUGCCAAAGAAAUAAAAAAUAAAAAUUCUAAAUCAAUGAUUCCAUCCGUGACAUAUUAUUGAUCGUGUUGUUUUCUUCGGAUUCUUUCGGCGCAAGUCGGCUCACAUGCCAGCGUCCUAAUUUCCCCUCUGUACCCCUCCGUUCACCCGUGUUCGCCUUGUCGAGGUAGCCAUUUUGAAUUUGAAAUGCGCAGCUUGGCCCCGAGCGGCGUACCCUAUAUAUAGCCGCCAUGACGUCAGCGCCCACAGAGAUUUGUCAUCAUUCGUGCAGUGAAGACGUGAAAGUUGUGAUGUGAAGUGCUGCGCAGUUCUACAAGUAGACUCUUGCCUGGUUGGAUUCAGUCCCAUUGCGUUUCGCGUGGGUCUGCAUCCGCCAGCCGCCAUCUUGGCUGCCGCUGGGCGUGGACACCGCAUAACUACGGAUGGGUUUGUAACGGUAUCCUUAAUUUUAUUUUAGUUAGUCAAAUUAUUUUGUGUAAAUAAAUGUUUCAAUUUUUUCUAAUACAGAGUUGAUUAAAUUGGAAGUCUAUUGUUUAUUCAUAUUGAAUAAGAAAAAUUGUAUCAUAUGUUUAAGUAUGAAAAUAAAAACUGUUUAAAAAAGUUGUUGUGGUCUCUUUCUAAUACUUUUUCAUUUUAAUUUAACUGUGAUUUCACCACGCACAAAUGUAUUAUUCCAUGAGUCAUCAUCGCCGCGGCGAGUCACGUCGCUGCGUCGAGGUCGGACGUGGAGGUAGACACUGUACGGAGCGCCUCGUCUGCUGCGGUACGCACUACUGCUCAGAGCCGCGCCCUUUGUAUACGAAGCGGAAAAAUAGCUACUGUCGAGUCCCGGUUAUCAGCCCACUAGGUAAAGGUUAGGCCCAAGAGUGAACAUAAUUAUAGCCAGUUGAUAACGGGCCCUGGGCCCUUUUUGGUGUAACCUUGUCUUUAGACCUCAGAAACUUCUGCCGUUGCUGCUAGUAACUACAUCAUAGAAGCGACUGUCUUCGAUGGCCAUAAUGGUACCACAGCCGCCCACGGCGCGUCCGGAUCGGGUGAAACGUUCCACUUCUGCGUAGCCAGUUGGUGGUAUACAUUUGCAAAUAAGUUGACGUGUCUGGGUGAGUCAUUUGUUAUUCAUAACAAAGAAACAAUUGACAAUCUCUUCUCUAUCUUUUCAAAAUAAAACUUGGUUUUGUUAUUUAUUGGGCGUAAAACCCUUUUGUUGUAACUAAUGCCAGUAGGCAACUUGUUAUUAACAUUCCACCCAAUCAGGCACUGUGUACCGCAUUAAUAGACGGAGGCAAGUGGAGAUUGAUCGGUAACUGGCUGACGAACAAACAUAAAGCCCGCGACGCGCCGAGGUGACUUUCACUGCUAGGUAAUCCAGGUCAAUGAUUAUAUUGUUCAAACUUGUACCACAAUGAGAAUGGAACCUAUUUCUGUGAUACCAUAACGAGAAAAGUUGCUGCGUGGGCUGAUUAAUUCCUGGACACCAUAUAUGAUAGCAUGAAAUUUAAUAGAAAUGAAAAUUAUUAGGAAGAAACAAAAUCAAAUAAAAACUUGUAUGGAAUGUAGGAAAUGAACAGAGGCAUACAUGGAUAACUUAAGUAUAAAUGCUAACUGGAACGGAGCAGAGGCAGUCGUGAAGCCUUUCACGUGUCGAAUGAAUAACAUUACAAGUUGGCCCUUCAUGAAGGUUAACCGGCUCCAGUUGACUUUAGCGAGUGGACCACCAGCCCGCUCAAAGAUAAGUCCUCUUCGGUCCAAUAAUGUCCUGUCGAUUUAGGCUAUAAAAUUGAAUUUCUCUAAUACGUAAUCAAGUGAAACCGGUAUCGUGUGCACGAAUUAUUCGAGGCAGGUAAGUGGUGUUCACUUAUCCAAUGCUCACUGGAUUAAAAAAAAUAUCUUAUUAGAUACAUUACUUCGACGCUCUAGAGACGGAAACUUGACAAAAGUAUAUUUGAUUAAAAAAUCUGGAUAAUUAAAAAAUAAGGAUUAAUACUUUCCUUGCAAUUGGUAAAAAGUAAGGCAAUAAUAUGCUUUUUUCUGAAAGGUAUGCGUAGGGCCCGCUAACUGUUAGAAAUUUAUAAUUUUCAGGUUAUACCUAAGUUGAAUAAGUAACCUAUACAUUUUGGAAACGUGGUGAAAUCUCAGAUUAUCCCUUUGUCCUCGUUCACGAAGUCCAAUACAAAUCACGAUCCUAAUUUUUAAAAUUAUAUAGGUGAACAAGGGGGAAAUAAAAACUAAGCUAAAUUGAAUGAAAUUCUCCUGACUGUGUAAAAUUAUUGAAGUCAUUUGAAUUUUUACAAAAACUGUUACAUCUACCACACAAUCUCGAUUGCAAAAAUAUUUUAUACAAACUGCGGGAAUUCAAGAAUUCAACUACGUGUGUAAGUAGAACUGAUGGAACUAACAAUUUGUUGUACAGAAUGAAGUACCUACAUUGUCCUACAUUAUAGAUGCCGAGAUGAUGGUUUAAACUUGAGCAGUGUUUUUCUGUCGUAUUUUGUCUCAUUGGCAGACACCAUAAUUUCUGACUUGAAAUAUGAAUCAAAGAAAGUCACGGAUAGAGAAACAACUGGAUGAGUCAGAAUCUUUUGGAUUUAAAAAUGGAAUAAAAUGACACAUUAGGUAUAACAAUUCAUUUCAUUCUAGUUUUGAGAACCUACUACACAAAAUGAAAUUCUUACGUACUUAUUUCCAGGUAUUUCUUACUAGCAGAAUGGUGUCAGUCAACUUUUUUCUUGAGUUUGCAAAUUCUGAAAAUGGAAGUUUACUAAAUUAAAAAUAGUGUGUGCUGUGAUACUAGUGCAAGUUUUGAAUUUGUGGCAAUGGUUUAAGUGUCUUAAUCAAAGCAUUGGAUUUAAGUGUAUCUUAAUCUAAUCUACCGAUCAAUGGUUGCUACUUGUAUGGACUAGUAGCUAAUGAAGUUACUUUUACAAUCAUGGCAGCUUGCUUACUGUUGUGUUAGUAAUAACAAUGUGAGAUGAGUGUUGCAUAAAAUAUUACAGUGAAAGACGCAUUACCACAGCUGAUUUUCGAUGGAUUAGUUAAUGGACAUAUUACAGCUUUAUGUCCAGGAUAUUAGCAAAUGAUAGUGGAGAAUUUAUAGACUUAUGAUCUCAAAUACUUACCAUGUCUUAACAAACUGGGUAUGCUCAUACAAUUUGUUAUUCACUAUUAACUAUUUGUAAACGGCUGCGUUUGCUAAUAGAUUUUGCAGCUGUUUUUUAAUAGCUAAUUUUUAAAACUUUAAUUCUUUCUUCGCUUUUUGUUCAGCAUAUUUUACAUAACUUGUAAAUAUAUUUGUUUUACAGACCGCGUGCGCGGUCUUUUGGAUAAUUUUUAUUGAGUUGUUGUUAGGCGCUGCUGCCCGACCUGAUGGUAGACGCGAGCAUUUGCAUAUCUGCAUGUAACUUAAGAGUACUUAAUAUAGAAGAGAAGCUAAAAUGCACAGUAAAACCACAAUCACCUGCUUCCUAGGAAAAUGAUGGAAUUAGAUAUUUUGGUGUCUAGAAUCGCUAUGGGUGCAAGUAAUAAGUAUAUACCUACCUUACUUCAGUUUAUCUGCAUUUUUUAUAAUACCUAUAGUAUUUUGUCCCUAACUUCUGUUGUAGAUUUUUUUCGUAACUUGUUUAGCUUAGGUGCACGUUAUAUAUAUCUACAUGGUGUUAUGAUCUUCAGGAGUUCAAAGCUGCACCUGGUUUACAUAAUAAUUUUAUAAGUUGACUAAUGUGAAUCAAAAAUUAGAAUAACCGAUAAGGAAAGAUGGUGAAUUUUGGUAAAUUUUUUUUUGGUCUGGAUAACUGGUAAUUUUUUUUUUCUCUUAUAAUUUUGAGCUGACUGUUAGAAAUAUUGUCUAAUCCCUUACAUGACUUCAAUUUUCGCGUCCUUUAUCUUAUUUAACUAGGUUUGCUGUACGCGUUGCUUUAGGGAAUGCUUCAAAGAAUUUUGCAGUGACUUGAGCUGUGUAUGACGUGCAUAACUUGCCUGAGCUCGGACUAAAGAGGAGAGCAUGGUUUUUCCGGAGAUAUCGAUCCAAUAAACAAUAAUAUACCAAUGAUCCGCUGUGGUGAGAACGCUGCCCUCAAUAAUUAAUUUAUUAUGGUCGCAUACAAAUGUUCGCAAGUGGUUAUUUUUUUUUUAAACCUUCAGUAUAUUUACACAAUUAUCGUAAAGCUAGCAACUUUUCUUGCAUGGUUUCUAAUUAUUUGAUGUUUUUAUCAACUUUUAGAUAAGUAGUAAUUAAGCUAAGUUAGGUUAAGUAGGGCAAAAUCUUUCUUUAGAAUUUCAGACACCAGAAAUAGUAUUGCGGUGCCAUUUUAAAUUGUGUCAAUGCAGGAAGCUAUAUGCAUAAAUAACAUCAUCCAACCAAACCCGUGGAGUAAAUAACAUUAAAUCAGCUAUAGAACUGAUAUGCUGUUUCCAACAGGUAACAAAUAAUUACCAUAAAAUAAAAAUAUCAUACGUAGUUACUUCAUUGUAUAAAUAUUUAAAAUUUGGAUUGUUAGAUGUAGGUCAAUGCGAUUUUUUUACCUCUAAUUACAGUUUGCAAUCUUACUUGCUACCUUCGUGUCUUGCGAGUUGAUAGCAGCCCAUCUUCACAGCCCACAUCAUAGACCGCACCUGUCGCUACAGUCUGUGCCACAAAUCGCGCCUCUCUUUAGAGCCGGAAUCACUGGACCGCGCCUGUCUUCACAGCCGGUGCCACAAUACCAUUGGACCGCGCCUGUCUUCACAGCCGGUGCCACAAUAUCAUUGGACCGCGCCUGUCUUCACAGCUGGUGCCACAAACCGCGCCUCUUUUAGAGCCGGCAUCAUUGGACCGCGCCUCUCACAGAGCCGGUGCCAUACGCCGAGCCUUUCACAGAACCGGCAUGAAACGUCGCAUGCAGCGCCUCGCGCCGUAGCAGAAGCAAAAUUCUUCGCAGUUGGUACGUCAUACGAAGCGUGCCUACGCAUUUGGUACCACAGACCGCGCCUGUCUACACAGCCGGUAUCAAUUUAUUCUGUUGUAAUUAAACUUUUUAUCUGUUGUAAUUAAAUCUGAAAAUUAAUGCUCUAGGUCAACCUCAAAUUUCAGUUUGCUAUAAUAUAUGCUACCUUCGUGUCAUGCUAUUAGUAGCAGCUCAUCAAAAACCGCGCCUGUCGUUACAGCGGUAUCACUGAAUCGCGCCUGCUGUUUUCACAGCCGGUGUCAUAAACUGGCGCCUCUCUUUAAAGCCGGUAUCAUUGGACCGCGCCUCUCACAGAGCCGGUAUUACGCGCCGUGCCUCUCACGAGUCUGCAUCAAACGUCUUAUGCAGCGCCUCGCACCGUAGCAGAAGAAACAUUCUAGCAGUGGGUGCGUCACACCAAGCUAGUCUACGUAGUUGGUUCCGCAGACUGCUCCUGUCUACCGCCGGUAUCAAUUUAUUCUAUUGUAAUUAAACUGUCUUAAAUGUAUAUAUACCUAUGUAGGUCAAUACGAUAUUUUUACCUAAAAUUUCAGUUUGCCAUUCAUUUAUGCGACCUUCGUGUUUUGCGGGAUUAGUACCUGCAGGUCUUCAUAGACCGUGCCUGUCAUUACAGCCGGUAUACUGGUCCGCACCAGUCUGCCGCAAGAGCCGGUGCCUCAAAUCGCAUCGCCAUCAAUCACAAAGCCGGAUACAGGCGCUACGUCUCACACAGACCGGACAUCAAACGCCGUGCCUGUCUUCACAGCCGGCGUCACACGCUGCGCCUCGCGCCAUAUCUGAAGGAAGAUUCUCGCAGACGGUGCGUCAAACUGCCAGUCUACGCAGUUGGUUGGGCAGACCGCGCUUGCCUACAUAGCUGAGCCGGCAUCAUAUGCAGCGCCUCGCGGCGUAGCAGAAGGAAAAUUCUCGCAGUCG